rnacentral:rRNA from 1 species
UACGUAGGGUGCAAGCGUUUGUCCGGAAUUAUUGGGCGUAAAGAGCGUGUAGGCGGCCCGAUUAGUCCGCUGUGAAAGUCCAGGGCUCAACCCUGGAAUGCCGGUGGAUACUGUCGGGCUAGAGUCCGGAAGGGGCGAGUGGAAUUCCCGGUGUAGCGGUGAAAUGCGCAGAUAUCGGGAAGAACACCGGUGGCGAAGGCGGUUCUCUGGGCCGUUACCUGACGCUGAGGAGCGAAAGCGUGGGGAGCGAACAGG